AGGUCCCAAGGGUUCGGCUGUUCGCCGAUUAAAGUGGCACGCGAGCUGGGUUCAGAACGUCGUGAGACAGUUCGGUCCCUAUCUGUGGUGGGCGUAGGAAGAUUGACGGGGGCUGCCUUUAGUACGAGAGGACCGAGGUGGACCCACCGCUGGUGAACCGGUUGUCACGCCAGUGGCAUGGCCGGGUAGCUAUGUGGGGAAUAGAUAAGCGCUGAAAGCAUCUAAGUGCGAAACUAGCCCGAAGAUGAAUCUUCCACAUAAGGGUCGUUGUAGACUACGACGUUGAUAGGCUGCAGGUGUACGUGUAGAAAUACAUUCAGCUGAGCAGUACUAAUUACCCAAGAGCUUGCACAUU
rfam:Dyadobacter psychrophilus strain DSM 22270 genome assembly, contig: LX75DRAFT_scaffold00009.9